GCGCGGCGAUUUACAGGCGAGCGGCGGACAGCCCUACGAGCGCGACGGGGCCGUGAAAGCCCCCGAGGGGCCUUCCAAGGUUCGGGCGCCCCCUAGUGACGUCUGAAGAGCGCGGCUCCUCAGGCUGCGGGGCAGAGUGAAGUCUCGCGAGACGAGGAGCGCGCGUUGUUGGCGCCUCCUGCUGAGGCGCGGCGUGAAGAGCGCGGGCGGACCGAAGGACGAAGGAAAGGGAAGGGAAGGCAGCACAAAAUCGUCCUUGUGCUCGAGUCUCUGCUUACACUGCUAUUACAAAACGCUCCGAGAGAAGGGCUUUGGGGGAACAACUGAGAUCUGCCCAGAAUUUCACCUCCAGUACAAGGAAAACAAUAACUACUUCCUAGCACUGGAAUCAGAAGUCUGAACGGUGCCUCUGAGCUGGACAACUCCUAUAAAGAGAAGGAAGCUGAGCUUAGCACAACAGAUAAUAACCUGCAUUUUAAGACAACUCAUCGUAACGCCAAAUUCCUGAAAUGCCACAGGACCUACUGAUACAUUUCACUCACUGGGAUUAUCUGUCCACAAAC